rnacentral:rRNA from 1 species
CAGCCGCCGCGGGAAUACAGAGGGUGCGAGCGUUAAUCGGAUUUACUGGGCGUAAAGCGUGCGUAGGCGGCUUUUUAAGUCGGAUGUGAAAUCCCUGAGCUUAACUUAGGAAUUGCAUUCGAUACUGGGAAGCUAGAGUAUGGGAGAGGAUGGUAGAAUUCCAGGUGUAGCGGUGAAAUGCGUAGAGAUCUGGAGGAACACCGAUGGCGAAGGCAGCCAUCUGGCCUAAUACUGACGCUGAGGUACGAAAGCAUGGGGAGCAAACAGGAUUAGAUACCCCAGUAGUCCCUGUCUCUUAUAC